rnacentral:rRNA from 1 species
AUUGAACGCUGGCGGCAGGCUUAACACAUGCAAGUCGAGCGAGCGGCGGACGGGUGAGUAAUGUCUGGGAAACUGCCUGAUGGAGGGGGAUAACUACUGGAAACGGUAGCUAAUACCGCAUACCCUCAGUUGUGGCCAGAUGGUAUUAGCUAGUCGGUGGGGUAAUGGCUCACCUAGGCGACGAUCCCUAGCGGGUCUGCGAUGCUGACCAGCCACACUGGAACUGAGACACGGUCCAGAGUCCUACGGGAGGCAGCAGUGGGGAAUAUUGCACAAUGGGCGCAAGCCUGAUGCAGCCAUGCCGCGUGUGUGAAGAAGGCCUUCGGGUUGUAAAGCACUUUCAGCGAGGAGGCGGUACUCGAAGAAGAAGCAACGGCUAACUCCGUGCCAGCAGCCGCGGUAAUAC